rnacentral:lncRNA from 1 species
UUUUGUUUUGUUUUUUGUUUUUGUUUUCUUUUUUGCCUUCAUAUAUAUAAUUUUGCUUUCCUCCUGGUGUUCCUUAAUAGCUACUGAAAGAAGUGUGCAAAUAUUGUAGAAAGCUGUCACUUUGAAUCCCUACUUUUUUAUCCCAUGUAUUAAUUGAGCCAUAAGGUACAUAAGGUAACUUUUUUUUAACCUCAGUGCUUACCUGCAAGGUGAACAGGACAAAUAGAGGUUGCAAGAGAGCAGAAAGUUACCUGCUAAAGCAUUUCUUAUGCUCUGGAUUAUGGUAUUGCCCCAUAAUUAGUUUUCAAGACAAAUUUUAAGUUGCCCUUUCUAGUUACUAAAAAAAGAAGAAGAAGAAAGAAAGAAAAAGCAAGGUGCACGUGUUCAGAAUGCAUUAAGUGGAUCGUAACAACACUGUCAUAAGGAAGCAGGGUUUGGACUGUGUUAGCAUUAUAGCCAUAUGUAGAUUGUCCCUUUCCUUCCAAUGGCCCAGAGGAGUAGUAGAUGCACAGUUAAAGAAAUACCAAACUGAUCCAAGUGUAGUGGCACCCACCUUUAACCCCAGCACCCAUGAGGCAGAGGCAGGAAGAUCUCUAAGCUCAAGGCCACCCCGGUCCUCAGACUGUGCUUCAGUACAGCCUGAGCUAAAACCCAUCUGAAAACAAGCAAACCAAAAACCAGCCAAUGGCAGCAAAAAGAAGUAUCAAAUGUAUAUUUUCUAAGCAGCAACAUAAAACCUUGUUGUUGUUGUUGUUUGGGGGGGGGUUGAGAGAAGAGGGGGGGCAUAAGGUAACAACAGAUAUUUAAACUUUAUAGUAAAAAUUCAAUAGGAUGGCUAAAAUGCAUGUAUUUAUUUUGUCAUCAUUUUAAGUCUAUUGAUAUUUGUUUCAUGUUAUGUGGACUCAUCAUUCCAUGUGGGUAAAACGUGCUUUGUAUCUUAUACUGAGGUAUAGCACAGUUGAAAGAAUGCAUUCCUUGCAUGCCCAAGGCCCCAGCUGCAUAUAAACUGGAUCAGAGAGUGGCAGCACAUGGCUUUAGGGCCCAGCACGGGAGCAGAUCAGAAGUCCAGGGCCUUCCUCCUAGGUGUCACAGUGAACUCCAAGCUAGCCUGGGAAGUGUAAGGCCCUCUUUUAAAAAAAUGGAAGAAAAAUAGGUCCCUUGCAUGGCUGCAGUGCCAAGAGAACACGUGUUGAGGGAGGAUGUGCAGUGGAUUUUGUCAGUGGAGACCGUUUACAAAAGCAAAUUAUGUCUGAGAGUGACGCAUAGGGUUCUAAUUGCAGUUACCCAACUAGUAAAGCUGUCAGGUAGGUGUCUCAUUAAGUUUUUCAAAAGCAAGUAUAAAGAAAACCAAUUGGCUUCAUAUGUGUAUGAUGCCACACUAUGUGCCUUAUUUUAAUUUCCUCUUGAAGCUAAGAUUAAUUGUAAUCAUAAAAAUUAUUCUAUUGUGUUUGCUUAUAGCCAAUUUUUAGCCUUAGCCUUUAGUUGUACUGAUUUGCUAUAUAAUGAAGCACAAAAAGAGAUCCCCCCAUUUCACAUUUGAAAUGGUGAAUGUUGAUGAGCACAUAUUAUAGCCUCUUAUAAGACCUUCUUUUAUCAUGUGGAAAAUACAAGCUGCAAGGAAUUACAAUCUGUAAAAUGUGAGGUUCAUUUAUUAUACUGGGAAACAUUGUGAUUUUCCUCUACUCUUAGGCAUAAGAUACCAUUGUGUUGUAAUAAAUCUUCUUGGGGAAAAAUACCUUUAAAUUAUAAUUCCUUAAACUUUCCCCUGUUAAAACAGCUCUACCCCAUAUUAUCUAUGUUUUGCAUUUUUAACUCUGUUAGGAGAACAUCUAAGUCCACUAUGUUUUAAUUACGACGAUGAAAUACGAUCGUUCCUUAUCAUGGGCUUUGCAAAGAUUUACAAGCAGCAUGAGUACAUAUGAUAGUUUCUGGAUAUCUCCAAGGAGCCUGGGCAGUUAUUUUCCACAGAUUAAUUUUACCUAUUCUGCAGCCCUCCCACGUCCUACACAGAACACGCAACCACAUGAGUGCCGUUCAUCUGUUCCAUUUUGGCAUGGGGCCAACAGCUGUGAGUUUUCUUCACCCACACAGCGUCUCAUUAAAUUUUAAGUACUAUCCAGGAAAACCAAAAGUACUUCCUCUUUUUUUUUUUUUGUAAAUAUUGAAGUGAAAGGUUCAUCCCAUCUCUAGUACUUACUAGUACUUAUUGAAUUAGCUAACUGGGAGUAAAUACUUUUCACCCUUCAAACCAAUUGUCUGGUGAAUCAGGCUUGUCUCCUGGUUUGUAGAAAAUUACAUUUUCUUUUCUUUUUUUAUUUCUUUCCUUCCAUCCCUUUUGUCAUAACAAGAAUAUCUUUUAAAGAUUUUUAAAAAGAAAAUCUUUGACAUUGCUGAUUUUAGGUCUCCCCCCAUUUUUAGAAUGUAACUUGAUUGAUGCAUCAAAAUAAUUCGGUGCCUUCAAUGAAGAAUUUGAAUACUUACAUUUAGCAUGUGUACAAAAUAGGUCAAACCUUGUAAAGAAACUGUCUUAUAUUAAUAACAUCUAUAACAAUAAAAAUGAUAAUAAUUCAGCCGGGCAGUAGUAACACUUGCCUUUAAUCCCAGAACUUGGGAAGCAGAGGCAAUUGGGUCUCUGAGUUCAAGGUCAGCCUCUACAGAGUGAGAUCUAGAACAGCCAGACCUGUACAGAGACACCCUGUUUUAAAAAACCAAAAAGAAAAUAUAAUAAUAAUAGUAAUAGUAAUAACAGAAUUUAAACAAAGUCACAUGACGUGGCAUGUCCUAUGAUAAUUUAUUGUUCACUAAAGCACUUGAAUAGAAACAGAAAGCAUAAAAACAUUUCAUUGGCUCAUCAAGAUCCUGCCUAUGAAGCCAGUUCAUAGUUUCCAUAUGUCCCAUCUGCCUACAGCAAAAACAUUGCUGAAGCAUGAGCCAUAGAAUUCAAAGUCAACUUUAUCCUUGACCAAGGACAUGACUCAGACACCACAAGCGUGGAAGUUUCCAAGGAGUCUCUCUGGUCAACUAAUCCACUGAUGUCUUCUUGGGAGUUGAAUUGGAUUUUACAGCAAAUCUCUUUUGUCCCUUUGCUUAGAACAAGGUGUUCCAAAUGCAUUAGCCAUAAUGCAGUUAACUAGUUCUCAUAGGAGGCCUUUGAUGGUUACAUGGAUUUGCCCAUGGGGACCAAGUGAGGAUUUGAGCCUUGGUUCUCAUCCUUUACAUUAAUCUUCUCUCUACAGUAAUUUAAGAUGUAUCCCAGAAAAAGAAUUAGUGACUAUAACAGAAUAUGCAGAGAGGAGAGAGGAGCGGGUCCACUUCCUGUACUCUGAUGCUCUGUCAUCACAUGGUGCAAAGCAACAAGAUCAUUUGAAUAUGAAAUUGUCCAGAUUCUUUCUUCACUUCCCAAUGUGAGCAGUUCAGUAGAGAACUUGGAAGACGUGAAUGGGAAGUGUUUUAACCUAAAAUUUAUUUUUUCCAACAGACAAUGCUUAUAAAUGUGAUAUAUUACCCAGUGGACAGAUACAGGCUUACAGUGAGGGAUUUGGGUUUUAACCACCAAUUUUGGUAAGCAGUCCUGUGUCUUUCCAAUUUUCAACCCUCUAGACACUGUCUUCAUUUAUAACAUAGAGUUACUAUGUUUUCCAAAAAUUUCCCCAGGGAAUCAGAAAAAUUAAAUGAGUUCAUCUCUGCUAAAGUACUUUUAACUCCAGUAAUACCUUUUUUUCUCCUCUAAUAAUAAAAAGUAAAUGGUACUAUUUCUCUGUAAACAUUGGAAAAAUAUGGUGGUGUUAUAUUUAAUCCCUAAUUUUUUCUUUAACUUAAAAGUUUAUGUGGCUUUUAUGAAGCCACCUGCUAACUUUGUAAUUUUUAUGUGAUCGAUUAGUUAUGUCCCUGAUCACCCUAUUAAUAUUUUUGAUCACUAGCUAGCUACCUUAUUU